UUAGGUGUGAGUACCCUAUUUGUCAAUCAAAGAUGUCCGCCUUCCCAUGAUGCGUCUGUUGCUUUUGAGACCUGCGCGUAGCAGAUAAAAGGAAGUGGAAGACGGGAGAGCAUCGCCUUGGCGCCAUGGACCUCGCUUGGAGGUUCUGCGCCUGAGGCUGCGGUGCUUGAACAGAACCUUUCCUUUCCUGGCUCCCCGGUGAUGUGAUGGCGGGCCUUUCCUACCGCAGUUGUAUCCAGGCUUCAGAGAUGAUCUGCUCAGAUUAUUCAUCCUUUGUUGCUCUGUGAUGAGGAAGCCAAACACCUGAGAAGCUGAGAAAUGAGCCGUGGGUGCCGCUGGAACUGCAGGAGCCGCAGAGUCUGCGCGCCAGCGCUGGAAGGGGUGGAGGAAAAUUGAAGAAGCUCAAACUGCUGCAGUAAAACUUGAGCAAACAUCAGUCUCUGGAGUUAAGACUUUGGUGGACCUGCGUGGAGAGCGUCGGAGCCCACAGUUUGGGACACCAGUGGCAGACUCAACACACCAGCGCUGGAACGCGAGGUGAGCCGAACCUCAGUAGCUCGAGACAAUGGCAGGCAAGCAGAAAGAGGAGACUAGAGGGAACGACCCCGUGGGUAAAAGUUCACCAGGCUAACUAGAAGAGAGAGAGAGAGAGAAAAAAAGUGACCGAUACGGACAUGAGUUUCUCUCUCUCCGCUCACCUCUCACAGGCGAGCAAGACAAAGAGCAGGUGCCAUCUUGGACAUACGUCAUAAGCAGGGCGACCUCAGGUCUGCACCAGCCCUGAGCCUAGCAGAAAAACCUAACUCUGGGUCGGGGGGUGAAUUAACAGGAGAUUAGGACCUAGUGAAUGUGUGGUGCUACUGAACUGAGACUGAAAAAAGAGACGGUGGGGGAGAGAACCCACGGAAUUCACAUGAGUACUCUCCAGAGACGCUAAAAUUCGGUCACCUUGGCAACCCAGUGAGAAACUGCAGGAGAAUUUGAGCCCACACUGAGGGCAGGACAGAUUCCCUGUGUGGUCCUUGGGAAAGAGCUUCCGAUCUCUGGCUCCUGUGGUAUAUCAGUUGCCUGCUAACUACCUCCAAUUCUGUUCAGCUUUGCAGGAUUACUUCCCUUUUGAAUCAAAAAAAAAGAAAGAAAGAGAGAGAGAUUUACCACGCCUAACCUGGGAGUGUCACCUUUGGCAUACCCUUAACCCUGAGGAACCAAACAGAGCUCUCAGGCCACACCCAUCUCAUGCCUCUAAGGCUCCAUCAAAAACAGACAGUCCACUUAAUUUAGAGUCAUAGUAUAACAAGAAAAAACACCACAGUGAAGAAACCAAAUAUCUCCAAUAUACCAAAUAACAAACGCAAAAUCUGAAGUAAUAAGAACAAGGAAAACACUAUGAUGCCCCCAAAUGAAAAAGACACCCCAAUUCAAGAUUAUGAAGAUGACGAGAUAAAAGAAAUACAAGAAGCAGAUCUCAAAAAAUUGAUAAGAACAUUAAGAAGUUCUCAAAAACAAAUUCUUGAACUACAGAAAUCCUUAAUGGACAAGAUAGAAAAUCCUUCUCACGAAAAUGAAAUAUUAAGGAGGAAUCAAAAUGAAAUGAAACAACUAGUAGAACAUGAAACUGUGAUAGUGACGAGAAAUCAUAAUGAAAUGAAGAAUUCAAUAGAUCAAAUGACAAACACAUUAGAGAGCCUUACAAACAGAAUGGGUAAAGCAGAAGAGAGAAUAUCGGACUUAGAAGACAGAGAACAGGAAAGGAUACAGUCAAGCCAAAGAAAAGAAGAAGAAAUUAGAAAUCUAAAAAAUAUUGUUGGGAAUCUACAGGAUACUAUUAAAAAACCCAACAUUCGGGUUCUAGGAGUUCCUGAAGGAAUGAAAAGGGAGAAAGGAUUAGAAUGCCUUUUUAGUGAGAUACUAGCAGAAAAUUUCCCAGGUUUGGAGAAGGACAGAGACAUCCUAGUACAGGAAGCUCAUAGAACCUCUAGUAAACAUGACCAAAAGAGAUCCUCAGCAUGACAGGUUGUAAUUAAACUCACCACAGUGAAACAGAAAGAAAAGAUUCUAAAAUGUACAAGAGAGAAACGUCAGAUUACUUUCAGAGGAUCUCCAAUUAGACUCACAGCAGGCUUCUCUUCAUAAACCCUACAAGCUAGAAGGGAAUGGCGAGACAUAGCACAGGUGCUAAGAGAGAAAAAUUGCCAGCCCAGAAUAUUAUAUCCUGCAAAGCUCUCAUUUGUGAACGAAGGUAAAAUAAAGACCUUUCAUAGCAAACAGAAAUUGAAAGAGUUUGCCGCCACUCGUCUGGUCCUGCAAGAGAUGCUUAAAGAUGUGUUACACACAGAAACAUGGUCAUCAAUAUGAAAGAAGGUAAAGGAAGGAAACCUCACAGCAAAAGAUCACAGGGAAUUCAAAGCAUAUAUUAGAAAAUGUCUUUGGAAAAUGGCAGGACAAAGUUACCACUUAUCAAUAGUCACAUUGAAUGUUAAUGGCUUGAACUGUCCAGUUAAAAGACACCGAUUGGCUGAUUGGCAUAAGGAACAAAAUUCAUCUAUUUGCUGCUUACAAGAAACACAUCUUUCCAACAAAGAUCCAUACAGACUGAAAGUGAAAGGCUUGAAAAAGAUAUACCAUGCCAACAGAAAUGAAAAAAGAGCAGGCGUAGCCAUCUUAAUAUCGGACAACAUAAACUUUAACACAAAAACUGUUAAGAGAGACAAAGAGGGACACUAUAUAAUGAUUAAGGGAUCAAUUCAACAGGAAGAUAUAACGAUUAUGAAUGUAUAUGCACCUAAUUACAGGGCACAAGUUUAUUUAAAAGAUUUGUUAACGGACUUAAAGGGAGACUUAGAUUCCAAUACAGUAGUACUGGGAGAUUUCAAGACUCCACUCUCAGAAAUAGACAGAUCAACAGGACAGAAGAUCAACAAGGAUACAGUAGAUUUAAAUGACACUAUAGCCCAAAUGGAUCUAACAGAUAUCUACAGAAUUUUUCAUCCUACAUAUAAAGAUUUUACAUUCUUCUCAGCAGUACAUGGAACCUUCUCUAGGAUUGACCACAUGCUAGGCCAUAAAGCAAGUCUCAGCAAAUUCAAAAGAAUUAGAAUCAUACCAUGCAGCUUCUCAGACCAUAAAGGAAUGAAGUUGGAAAUUAGCAACUCAGGCAUCCCUAGAGCAUACGCAAACACAUGGAGAUUGAACAACAUGCUCCUGAAUGAACAAUGGGUCAUAGAAGAAAUCAAAAGAGAAAUCAAAAACCAUCUGGAAGUAAAUGAGGAUAACAGCACAACAUACCAAAACUUAUGGGAUGCAGCAAAAGCAGUGUUAAGAGGAAAGUUUAUAUCAAUAGGUGCCUACAUCAAGAAAUUGGAAAGGCACCAAAUAGAUGAGCUUUCAACGCAUCUCAAGGAUCUAGAAAAACUGCAGCAAACCAGACCCAAAUCUAGUAGGAGAAGAGAAAUAAUUAAAAUCAGAGAAGAAAUCAACAGGAUUGAAUCCAAAAAAAAUUACAAAAAAUCAGCCAAACGAGGAGCUGGUGUUUUGAAAAAAUAAACAAAAUUGAUACCCCAUUGGCCCAACUAACUAAAAGAAGAAGAGAAAAGACCCAAAUCAAUAAAAUCAGAGAUGAAAAAGGAAACAUAACAACAGACACCACAGAAAUAAAAAGAAUCAUCAGAAAUUACUACAAGGACUUGUAUGCCAGCAAACAGGGAAACCUAUCAGAAAUGGAUAGAUUCCUGGACACAUGCAACCUACCUAAAUUGAACCAGGAAGACAUCAAAAACCUAAACAGACCCAUAACUGAGACAGAAAUUGAAACAGUAAUAAAGGCCCUCCCAACAAAGAAAAGCCCAGGAUCAAAUGGAUUCACUGCUGAAUUCUACCAAAUAUUUAAAGAAGAACUGACUCCAAUCCUUCUCAAAGUAUUCAGAACAAUUGAAAAAGAGGGAAUCCUCCCAAAUUCUUUUUAUGAAGCCAGCAUCACCUUAAUUCCUAAGCUGGAAAAAGAUGCAGCACUGAAAGAGAAUUACAGACCGAUAUCCCUGAUGAACAUAGAUGCAAAAAUCCUCAAUAAAAUUCUGGCCGAAAGAAUGCAAAACACAUCAGAAAGAUCAUCCACCCAGACCAAGUGGGAUUUAUCCCUGGUAUGCAGGGAUGGCUCAAUGUGCGCAAAAGAGUCAACGUGAUACACCACAUUAACAGACUGCAGAAGAAAAAUCAUAUGAUUAUCUCAAUAGAGGCAAAGAAAGCUUUUGAUAAAAAUACAACACCCUUUCAUGAUGAAAACUCUAAGCAAACUGGGUUUGGAAGGAACAUUCCUCAAUAUAAUCAAAGCAAUUUAUGAAAAACCCACGGCCAACAUCCUAUUGAAUGGGGAAAAGUUGGAAGCAUUUCCACUGAGAUCUGGUACCAGACAGGGAUGCCCACUCUCACCACUGCUAUUCAACAUAGUUCUUGAAGUUCUAGCCAGAGCCAUUAGGCAAGAAAAAGAAAUUAAAGGGAUACAAAUUGGGAAGGAAGAACUCAAACGAUCCCUUUUUGCAGAUGAUAUGAUUCUUUAUUUAGGGGACCCAAAGAACUCUACUAAGAGACUAUUGGAACUCAUAGAAAGAGUUUUGAAAAGUAGCAGGAUAUAAAAUCAAUGCACAAAAAUCAACAGCCUUUGUAUACACAGGCAAUGCCAUGGCUGAGGAAGAACUUCUAAGAUCAAUCCCAUUCAAAAUAGCUACAGAAACAAUCAAAUACCUUGCAAUAAACUUAACCAAGGACAUUAAGGAUCUCUACGAUGAAAAUUACAAAAACUUAAAGAAACAAAUAGAAGAGGAUACCAAAAAAUGGAAAAAUCUUCCAUGCUCAUGGAUUAGAAUAAUCAAUAUCAUCAAAAUGUCCAUUCUCCCAGAAGCAAUUUAUAGAUUCAAUGCAAUACCAAUCAAAAUACUGAAGACCUUCUUCUCAGACCUGGAAAAAAUGAUGCUGAAAUUCAUAUGGAGACACAGGAGACCUCGAAUAGCUGAAGCAAUCUUGUACAACAAAAAACAAAGCCGGAGGCAUCACAAUACCAGAUUUCAGGACAUACUACAGGGCAGUUGUUAUCAAAACAGCAUGGUACUGAUACAGAACAGAUGGAUAGAUCAAUGGAACAGAAUAGAAACACCAGAAAUCAAUCCAAACAUCUACAGCCAACUUAUAUUUGAUCAAGGAUCCAAAACCAAUCCCUCGAGUAAGGACAGUCUAUUCAAUAAAUGGUGCUGGGAAAACUGGAUUUCCACAUGCAGAAUCAUGAAGCAAGACCCCUACCUUUCACCUUACACAAAAACUCACUCAACAUGGAUUAAAGACUUAAAUCUACAACUCGACACCAUCAAAUUAUUAGAGAGCAUUGGAAAAACUCUGCAACAUAUAGGUACUGGCAAAGACUUCUUGGAAAAGACCCCAGAAGCACAGGCAGGUAAAGCCAAAAUUAACAUUUGGGAUUGCAUCAAAUUGAGAAGUUUCUUUACUGCAAAAGAAACAGUCAAGAAAGUGAAGAGGCAACCGACAGAAUGGGAAAAAAUAUGUGCAAACUAUGCAACAGAUAAAGGGUUGAUAACAAGAAUCUACAAAGAAAUCAAGAAACUCCACAACAUCAAAACAAACAACCCACUUAAGAGAUGGGCCAAGGAUCUCAAUAGACAUUUUUCAAAAGAGGCAAUCCAAAUGGCCAACAGACACAUAAAGAAAAUGUUCAGGAUCACUAGCAAUCAGGGAAAUGCAAAUCAAAACCACAAUGAGGUUUCACCUCACCCCGGUUGGAUUGGUUCCAGGUCUUAGCUAUUGUGAAUUGAGCUGCAAUAAACAUUAAGGUGCAGACAGCUUGUUUGUUUGCCAAUUUAAUUUCCUUUCGGUAAAUUCCAAGGAGUGGUAUGGCUGGGUUGUAUGGUAGGGUGAUAUUCAGGUUUCUGAGGCAUCUCCAGACUGCCUUCCAUAGUGGCUUAACCAGUUUGCAUUCCCACCAACAGUGGGUUAGUGUCCCUUUUUCCCCACAUCCUCGCCAGCAUCUGUUGUUGGUAGAUUUCUGUAUGUGAGCCAUUCUAACGGGGGUGAGGUGAAACCUCAUUGUGGUUUUGAUUUGCAUUUCCCUCUUCUACUUCACUGACUCUGUUUUUAAGGCUCUCUAAUGUGUUUGUCAUUUAAUCUAUUGAAUUCUUCAUUUCAUUUUGAUUUCUCUUCACUGUCACAAUUUCAUGUUGUUAGUUUCUGCAUUUUAUUUUGAUUGCUCCUUAAGAUUUCAUUUUCGUGAGAGAGAUUUUCUAUCCUGUCCAGUAAGGAUUUCUGUAGUUCAAGAAUUUGUUUUUGAAAACUUAUAAAUGUUCUUAUAAAUUUUUUGAAAUCCGUAUCUUGGAUUUAUUCUAUCUCAUCAUCAAUUCAUAAUCUUGGUUUGGGGUGUCUUGUUCAUUUGGGGCAUCAUAAUGUCUUCCUUGUUUUUCCUCAGUUUCUGUGUUUGUUGCUUGGCUUUGUGGAGAUAUUAUUUGGUUUCUUCUUCUUUUUAUUUUUUUUUCCCUCGCUGUGGUGGUUGUUCUCAUUAACUAUGACUAUGUUAAGUGGACUGUCUGGUUUUGAUGGAUCCUUAGAGGCUAUGAUACGUGUGGUCAGUGAGCUCUGUUCAGUUCUUCAGGGUUAAUGGUGUGCCAAAAGUGACACACCCAGGUUAGGUGUGGUAAAUCUCCUCUCUCUCUCUCUCUCUCUUUUUUUAUUCAGAAGGGUCGUAAUUCCCCAUAGCUGAGGGUAAUUGAAGGCUAUUAGUGUCUGAGCUCUGGCCCCGGUGGGUAUAAUAUUCAUCUGCUCUGUCCCAAGGACCACACAAAGGAUUUGUGCAGUCCUCAGUGUAAGCUCAAAUUCCCUUGCAGUGUCUCCCACUGGGUUGCCAAGGUUACCGAGUUUGCAGCCUCUCCUAAGAGCACUCAUGUCUUGGGUACUCAGUGAGCCCUCUCACACACCCUCACUCCUUCUUUCACAGUCUCAUUUUGUUAGCUCCACAUAUUCACUAGGUCCUAACCUCCUGUUAUUUCUCCCCACCAGAGUCAGGUUUUUCUGCUUGGCUCAUGGUGGGUGCAGCUUUUACGUAUGACCAAAAUGGUGCCUGCUCUUUGUCUUGCUCGCCUUUGUAAGGUGAUUGGAGAGAGAAAAUCGUGUCCAUACCAGUCCCCUUUAUUUAUUUAUUUAUUUAUUUAUUUAUUUUUUCUCUCCUCUAGUUAGUCUGGUGAACUUCCCCCCACGGGGCUUCAAGCCUCCUUCCCUAUAGGCUCUUUUUUUUUUUUUUGACAGGCAGAGUGGACUUUGAGAGAGAGAGACAGAGAGGUCUUCCUUUGUCGUUGGUUCACUCUCCAAUGGCCACUGUGGUCGGUGCGCUGCGGCUGGCGCACUGCACUGAUCUGAUGGUAGGAGCCAGGUACUUAUCCUGGUCUCCCAUGGGGUGCAGGGCUCAAGGACUUGGGCCAUCCUCCACUGCACUCCCUGGCCACAGCAGAGAGCUGGCCUGGAAGAGGGGCAACCGGGACAGAAUCCCGCGCCCCGACCGGGACUAGAACCUGGUGUGCCAGCGCCGCAAGGCGGAGGAUUAGCCUAGUGAGCCAUGGCGCCGGCCCCCUAUAGGCUCUUCCUUCCACUUUCUCUCCAGUGUUGGGCUACUAAGGUUAUCCUCCCUUCCCUUUCCAGCGUUGGUGUGUAGAUUCGGCAGCUGGGGUCCUGAGCCUUGGGCGCCUGUGUCCUCCAUGUAGGUCCACCAUGUCCCACUAGUUCUGCAAGAGUUUUCUCUGCUGUUUUUUCCCUAACUCUUCCCUGAACCUGCAGUAUCUCCAUUUUUAUUAAACUGUCUUUUCCCAGACUAUUAGUGUGCUCCCUCCCUAUUCUGCCAUCUUGGAGCUCCCCUCAGAGAGCUCCAAGUAACUUGUACUUUGUCUCUCUCUUGCUUAAAACGCUUUCCAUGGUAGCCUAUCAUUAAAUAUGCAUUCCACUUACUGUGGCUUACAAGACUCUGCAGGAUUCAGUAUGCUUACUAAUCAGGCUACUUCUCUAACCCCAUCUCAUUCUUCAACCAAAGAAUGUGCCAUUCUCUCUCCUGCCUUAUGACUGAGGCACUGACUGUUGUUUUUGUGUAGAGAGCUCUUCCCCUACCUAUUCAUACUGCUGCCAUAUUCUGACCUUUCAAGGUUUAGCUGAAUGUCUUUGGCCACUUUAUAUCAAGAAGAUGUGCCUGUUCUAACUUGUAUGAGUUGCUUACUAUUAAAUCAUCAUCUUAUUUUCAUCAUGACAGUUAUUUCUUUAUCCUGGUUAAUUGUCAGAUUUCUGACUAAAUAUAAGUUCAGUGAAGGUAGGGGACUCUCUUUUAUUUUCUACUAGUCUCUUAUAUGUAGAACAAUGUUAGGGUCCAGGAAAACCCAAUGUAUUUUUAGUAGAUUCAAUAUAAAUAUUUUAGACAGAUGUUUAUUAUAAUGUAGUAGUGAAAAACACAGACCAAGAGUUCUUUUCCAUUUGAAUCUUAGCUUCAAUUGUUACUAAUAUAUGACCUAUUUGAAUUUGAAUUUUCUAUGCCUCAGUUUCUUCUGAGUGACCAUCUUACAUAUUGUAAGUCUUGAGUGAAUGAAUAUGUUCAUAGCAGUAUCUGCUACAUAAUUUGUAGUCUAAUGUAUGGAUAAAAAGUACAAGGAAAAAGACAAAUAGACAUUUUAAAAUUCUUUAUUUUAUUUGAAAGAGUUAAAAAGAGAAGGGUGGACACACACAUUCAAAGUAAGAGAGAGAGAGACCGACCUUCUGUCCACUGUUUCAUUCUCCAAAUGGCCCCAACAACUGAGGCUAGCCCAGGCAGAGAUCUAGAAGCCACGAAUUCAGUUCAAGGUCUCUUAUAUGGGUGAGAGUGGCUCCAAGUAAUUGGGCCAUUUUCUACAUUGGCAGUGAGCUGGAUUGGAACUGGUACAGCUGAGACUACAGCUGAGGCUUACAUGGGAUGCCAGAGUCAAAGGCAGUGACUUAACCCACUGCACAACAACACUGGCCUUGACAAAAUAGACUUUGAAUCUGCAUUAGAACACUGCUAGUAAUCUGGAAGUUAGUAUCUUUCUAGAUUUCAAUUCAUAGUGAUAGUGUCCUCAACAGAAACAUUUAAAAGAUCUUUAAACUUCUCAGAUUACUAAAUAACAAAAAUAUAUAGCUAUACCUCAUUUUAAUUUCUCACAACAUUUUUUUGAAAAUGAUAUGCUAAAAAUUUCAAAUGGACAAAGACUUCAGUUAACUGGAAACUUCACUUAUUUAAAAUGCAAGUUUACUCAUCAAAUUAGGAUAAUUUCUAGUACUCAUUCUUUUUGGAUUGUUUUUCAUGUUGUCAAAUUUGCUCCUGGAGGCUUUAAAGUAUGAUUAUCUCUCUAAUAAUGGGGAGGAAGACCCCAACAGAACCUUAGUUUCCACAAGCUUACAUGAUGGUUUUGUAUUUUCAUUUAUCAGGAACUUUUAUUUUCAUUAUAUGUCUUGUCCCAAAUAGCUGAGUUCUACCUGCAAUAACUAAAAUAAUUGAUGUAGUAUGGUAUUAGCAAAUGAAUGGACAGAUCACCCAAAUUAACAAAUUGAAACUGAAUUACUAUAGGAAUUCUACGUGUGAUAAUGUAGCCUAAUAAAUUGUGAGGAUGUAAUAGUCUUUUUUUCACAAACAGUUUUGGGAAACUGGAAAAUUCCAUGGGGACAAAAAAGGUAAAACUGAGUCUUACCCCAUAGAAAUAAAAAUAAGAAAUAUAUAAUAGAUAAAACAUAUAUAGGUUAAAAGAAAUAAAUUUCAGUGUUUUCAUUAUCAUUACAUUGUAUGGUGAACAUCUUUGAUGUUCGUACUGAAAUCUGGGAGAGGGCAACAUGUACCAUGCCCCUUUAAGAUGGGUAACUUCAUUGAAAAAUAUUGUGUGUGCUCUGAAUUCUUCACUGAACAACUGUUUUUGUUUCUCUAUCUCCUUCUUCAGUGGUCUCCCUAUUCCUUGAGUCCCAAUAAUAUUGGAAUUAUGCUUCCAUAAUGGUAGUUUUCAAGUAAAAGGAAGAGUCACAUAUCUUUCACUUUAAAUUAAAGGUUUAGAAAUGAUUAAAUUAAUGAGGAGGGCACAUCAGCGUUGUGAAUGCAAUGGAAAAAUUCUUGAAGAAAAUUGAAAAUGCUAUUUUAGUGAACACUCGAUAAAGAAAGUCAAAUAGCCUUAUUGCUGAUAUGGAGGAAGUUUUAGUGUCUGGAAUAGAUCUACCAGCACAACUUUUGCCUUCAGCUUCAGCCUGAUCUAGAGCAAGGUCCUAGCUCUUUUUAAUCCUAUGAAAGCUAGGAGAGGUGAGGAAGCUGAAAAAAGAAAAGAUUGAGGCAAAGUUUGGUUCAUGAUGUUUAAUGAAAGAGGACCUCUCUAUUAAUAUAAAAGUGCAAGGUGAAGCAGCAAGUUAUCCAGAAGGUCUAGCUAAGAUAAUUGAUGACGGUGGGUGUAUGAAACAACAGAUAUUCAGUGUCAACAAAACAGCCUUAUAUUGGAAGAACUUGCCAUCUGGAAAUUUCAUAGAUACAGAGGAGAAGUCAGUGAUUGGUAUCAAAACUUCAAACGAUAGUCUGACCUCCUUAAUAAAGAUUUAUCACAUGGUGACUUUGACUUGAAGCCCGUGCUCAUUUACCAGGAACUCCAUCUGAGUCUCCCAUGUGAGUGGCAGGAAUCCAAGUACUUGCAUCCAUCAUCUGCUCUUUCCAAGGUACAUUUGCAGGAAACUGGAUUGGAAGUGGAGGUGGGACUUGAUUCCAGGCACUGAAAUAUGGGAUGAGUGUGUCUCUGGCAGAAGCUGAACCCAUUGUGUAAUAAUGUCCACCCCACACUCACUUUACUGAGGUAGUCUGGAACUGAACUCACAGUAUCUACCAGGAGUCUCCCAGGCAUAUUACAAAUGCAGAGUUAAUACACUUAAUAUAGAAAAAGUUUAAAAAGGAGGAUAUAAAAAUGAUGGUACAUUAGGAGCUACAGGCCCUCAUUUUCCUCCAAAUGCAUUUAGUUAACAAUGUUAUAUGGGGGGGGGGCAGUGCUGUGGCAUAGUGGGCUAAGCCUCCACCUAUAUUACCAGCAUCCCAUAUGGGUGCUGGGUCGUGUCCCAGUUGCUCUUCAUCUAAUCCGGCUCUCUGGUAUGGCCUGGGAAAGCAGAUGGAAGACCUUUCUGUCUGUCUCUCCCUCCCUCUGUCUGUAACUCUACCUCUCAAAUAAAUAAAUCUUAAAAAAAUGAUAUAUGAACUGGAAUAUCUCUUGGAAAAUGCUAGAGACCAGUUAAGAACUUCUAGACCCUGGAUCAGUGUAAAACCGAUAAUGAAUUCCAUUGAAAGAUGUAGGGAAAUUCACAGAAUUUUAUGUUCCUCUCUGUAUCUUUCCAUCUGCAUUGCAUAGCAUGCAAAACUAGGAGAAAAAUCUCACACUGAGGAGCCUCUGUCAGAAUGGAAACAAAGACUAGGCCCAAGUGUUCAACUGUUUGCUUUAUGUUGGGUUUGUUUGAGGGACUUAUUUCUGUCUUGAGUCAGAGCAUUAAUGGACCAGCUGCGGAGUUUGGAAUCCAUUGGAAACAGAAUAGAGAACCACAGCACAACAAAGUGGCAGCUCCACAGGCAGGUACCAAGGAAAGUAUGAGAUCAUAAAAGGUUUACAAGGCCCUAGACCCUCAGAAUGUACUGCUUCUAGGUACAGAGCUCAGGCUGUUCCAGCCAUUCCCUUCAUAGCUUAGGAUUUGCAUUCCCAGAACAUUCUAAAGGUAUUGAAUCUAUAAGCAAGAAAGUGGGGGUGUUAUAAGGGGGGCAGGGCAGUGAGCUGAAUCAGCCCAAGGUCAUGUGAACAUUUUUGUAUCCCAUUCUGUUAUUCAGUUAUCUCCUUUGGGAAAUCUAAUCCAUUUCAUAUGUCCACAGCUUCCCUGGAUGUUCAGGAAGAGGUUUGUCUCAUCAGAUCAGUGUUACAGUAUCAGUGACACCAUACUUUUCACUAGAACCAAGGGAACUACUACCACAAGCAUGAUGGUCAGGCCUGCCUGGAGCAUUAGCCCAGCCUAGAUCCUAGAAAUUUUAUGUAAGAACUUGCUAAAGAGGUCAAGGAAGGAUCCUUCAGGUGGCCCCAUUGUUUGCAACCUCUCGAUCUGCUUAUGAUUAUCUUUUCUGUGUCUUUAUUAAGUGCUAGAGAUAUUUCUGUAGGUAUAAUAGGAGGAGCCAGAAACUAUACAUACUCUUCUCCGUUGGUCUACAACAAAGUAUAGAGAAGUUCUGUUAUCUCACACAUUUUUUUAGGGAGUUGAGGGAUGUCUGCUGGCAAUGACAGUGAAGAAAGUAGUAUGUGCCAUAGUCAGGGACAGUUUCCUUUCUUCCUUCCUUCUUCCCUUCCUCCCUCCUUCUCUCCCCUCCCUUCCCUUCCCCCCUCCCCUCCCUUCCCUUUCUUUUCUUUCUCCUCUUUCCUCUCCCUUCCUUUCCUUCCCUCUCUCCCUCCCUCCCUUCCUUCCUCCCUUCCUUUUUCAUAGACACUGACUCCUAUGUAUAAUACCAAAGAUAUCAUAAAACACAUAAACCCAGAGUCAAUUACAUAUUCUGGCAGGUCUCUAGUAAAACUGAUACCUAGCUUUAGACUGUUGGCUUACUAGUGAAUCUCAUUUCAAAGGUUAGUAUUCAGAGAAUCUCCUAACAUGCCCAACAAGUAGGAACACAGCAUUCAUCAGCUUUCCAGGCAUGACUUUGCCCAGUCCCUUUUUGAGUCACCCUAGACCACCUGUAAAGAAAGAUGUAGUCCUGGAGUGAACACAGUAUACCCUUAACUUGUUUUAUGAUUCAGUUAGCUAUUUAUGGGUAUGGAGGCAUUAAUAUUUGCCAUCCAAGUGUCAUUAGUGUUAUAGUUGCUUGAAAUAAGUUUUCCUCAUGCAAUAUUGAUGAAGUUUUUGUACAGAGGGCUAGAACAUGUCCAUUCCUUGUUUUCAUCAUUGAUUAUCUGUGCAGUCAAAAAUGUGGUGCAUGAAGGUGCUACUGCACUAAAGCUUCAUUAAUUGUGGUUAUGAUGCUUUGCCACCUUAGGCCAGUUAGAUUUAAACAGGGCACCUCUGGAAUCUUUCAUGUGAUGAGUACCCACAUCCAUAGUUGGUUAAGUCAGGGCUUGGGAUGUGGCAUUAGGAAUACUGGUAUAGUUUAUCAUGGCAGGAUAAGAGAGUUCUUGUGGUCUGUGACAGAAUAGUCCAGAAUAACAGAUCCAGUAUGUUUUGAGGUUACUUGAGGUGAUCACAGCCUGGGAGAGCCUAAUGAAGGUGCUGUGUCUUCCAGGUUUCUAUUGCCAAUCCUUGUGAAAGUAGAUUGGCAAGUUAAUGCCCCACUUUGCAUUCCUCUUGGGGUCCCAAGUGUUCUCAACCUAUUGGAUAGAGGUUGGAAUAAGUGCAACAGUUCAGUCGGUCAGUCCCUAAGGUCACCUCCUUUGUGGGCACUUAUUUUCCCUUUGAUCAUGGUUGUACAGUCUAGGAAUAGAGCUAAUGUCUGUUGACAUGUACGAUAACCCUGUCUACCUGACUGGAAGGAUCAAAUGCCCACAGCACCACUAAAGGGAUUCCUAGUAUCUUGUUAUUUGUUGGUUCCAUCCCCUACCUCUGUGGGAUAUUGUAGAAGGGGAGAGACCUAAGGGAACCACUGCUUCUAAAUUAGAUUUAGGGAGACUUCUCUGGAAUACUAAGUUGGCCUAAGAAUGUGCACCCUGUAAAGAAAGGAAAACCAGUAGUUAGAAAUAUAUUUGAAUUUUUCAUUGACAAGUUAAUCAUGUUGUUUGGUUCACCUCCACCUUAGUGUAUUUCUCAACCUGCACCACAAAUGCUGUGUUUCUUUUGAGUUUAGUGUGUACACUUCCUUAGUCAGAUGGGUAUACCAUCUUUUUAGUAGGCCAUCUUUAUGUUGCUUUGUGAGUUAGCAGUUACACUGUUUAAUAGUUUCACUAGCCUGUGGAUGACAGUUCCAUGGAAAGUCCAUUGUAUUUCGAAAGUGUGUGCCUGUUGUUACUUAUCAAGGCAGUGAAGGAUGUUCCUUGUUCAGAGUGAGGUCAUGCAGUAUCUCCAAAAACACAACAUAAGAUCCUCUCAAGGGCAGCUAUAGGAAUCCCAGUGUCUACACAAGUGAUGUGUAGGUGUCACUUCCAGGCAGCCAGCUACUGCUUCCAAUAUAGGAGAUUUAUUUUUGUAAUUUUAAAAUAUCCAGGUCUGGGCCAGGCUAAAGCCAGGAGCCAAGAGCUCCAACCGGGUCUCCAAAAUGGGUGGCAGGGACCCAAAGACUUGGGCCAUCCAACACUGCCUUUUCAGAAGCAGUAGCAAAAAACUGAAUGGGAAGUGAAGUAUCCAUUACUCAACCUAUUGUGGCAUGGGAUGCUGGUGUCACAUAUGGUAGCUUAACUAGCUAUGCCAUAGCAACAGGCCCCUUUUUAUACUUUUUUAAAAAAGUAUUCAGUUUUAAGGGCCAACACUGUGGUGCAAUGGGUUAAGCCACCAUCUACAAUGCCAGCAUCCCAUAUGGGUGCUGCUUCAAGUCCUGCCUGCCCCACUUCUGAUCCAGCUGCCUGAUAAUGCAUUUGGGAAUGUUGCAGAGGAUGGCUUGAGUCCUUGGGGCCCCUGCCACCCACGUGGGAGACCCAGAGGAAGUUUCUGGAUCCUGCCCUUGGCCUGGCCUAGCCUUGGCCAUUGCAGCCAUUUGUGUAAUGAACCAGUAGAUGGAAGAUCUCUCUCUGUCUUUCUCCUCUCUCUGUAACUCUGCCUUUAAAAGAAAUAAAUAAAAUAUUUUAAAAAGUAUUCACUGUAAAGGCAGAGAAAAGAGUUAGAUAGAGACAGGAAGAGAAAUAAGAAGAGAUGCUGGUUCACUCCCCAGAUGCCUGAAAUAUCUGGGGCUAGGAUGAGGCUGAAGCCAGGAACCAAGAAAUUAAAAUGGGUCUCCAACAUAGGUGGCAGGAACCCAAUUACACUGUGUACCUGGGUCUGCCUUGGAGGGAAGCUGGAGUUAAGGCUUAGUGUGAGAUUUUGAACCCUGAUAUUGCACAUUGACCUCUUAACUUAAUUUCUAGUUUAAACAUAUUGUCCCACAGAGGCUCCCUUAAUAGUUUAGUUAUUUAGUUGCCAUUUUCUUGACCUGAUAACUUGGAUAUUGAUGGUAGCCUGUGAAGUGAUAAAAAUCUAGCAAGAUAUGGUCAUGGGGUGCCUGGCAUGGUUAUCACACUUCAUGUGAUUUUACCCAAUAUACAGAAUGUCCAUAUGCAGUCUCAGUCCAAAAAUGACCAUCUGCCAGCCAGAUGACGCCACAACCUAUUGGGUCUGCCUGCUUGUGGUUUUACAGUCGAUAGCAUACUAUGCCAUACUAUCAUGGGCACAUCUCUAAAUCUUGGGCUCCAGUGAGAGAAGCAAAUCAUCCACUACAGGUUAUUUGGUAUUUUUUUUGGUAAGCUAGCCAUUCUUCAUGGAGCCUGUUGAUUUCUUGUCAUCUCAAUGAGGCCCAAUCUCUUAAUGUACUAGUUUCAUUUGAUAUUUGAGUUAUAUUAAACGUGUCCAACUUUGUUGGUGGGAUUUAUAGGCAAUCUAAGUUUGAGUGGGCACUUUAUUUCAUAGCAUUAUAUGCGGCACACUGGCCAUAAGUCACUCAAGUUUCUGCCAGUGCCUAAAGGCAAGCUAGGAGCUACCAUUCAAAAGUUACCAUUCCUGAUGGCUGCCUCAGGAAAAUUGUGUGUUCAAAAUCUGAGAGGGUUAUAUACUGUGGUGGCAAUUUCUACUCAUAGAUUCCAGUCACCCUGCAGCAAGUUUGUGGAUACCUGUAGUCCCUUUGUGCUAGGAGGCCUAAAAUGUUUCCAAGACAGUGUUGGGCAUGCUUUGUUGAGCAGUUUCCAGGAUUUUCUGCUGCAAAGUAUGUCAUUCAAGGUGUAUGACUUUACUGGUCACCUAGCCUAAGAAGGCUGAGAGAACACCUAGAAAGAGUUAUAUGUUGCCUGCAGUAUAUCUAGAGGCCUCUCAGCUGUUGGGCCUUCCUUUUACUAAUGGGUUCUACCAGGGCUAGAUUUUUUUGCUUAGCUAUACCAAGAAUGCUUCUUUGGCUCUCCACUGAAGUUUUCCUGGCAUUCAGCCUAUGAUAAUCCAUUCUUAGUAUCCAUGCCCAGGAAUCUGUUUUGGCAAACCAGACUGGGCUACUACAUUGUGACUGGGAGAUUUAUAACACCUCUGUCUAUGGCGUUUUCUGAAUUAACAUAGUAAGAUCUUAUUAUCUACUGAAAAUGAAAAGUUGGAAAAGAUAGUCCAUGAAAAUAGUUACCAAAAAGGAACAGGAGUAAGUAUAGUAAUAUCAGCCAGAAUAGACUAUGAGUCAAAAAGUUACAAGAAAUAAAGAAAGGCAUUAUAAAGUGAUAAAUCAUCAAUUCACUAAGAGGUCUAAGAGGAUAAAAUAAUUACAAAUCUGUAUUGAACAAACCUCAGAAUUUCUAAAUAUUCAAAGCAAACUUUGACAAAAUUAAAGAAAGACAUAUAAAGUAAAACAAUAAUAUGAUACCUUCAUAUCCUCUUUCAGUAAUGGCUAGCAAAACCAGACAGAAAGCCAAUGAGUAUAUGGAAGACUUAAAUGACACCUUAAACAUAAUAGACAUAAUAGGCAUAUACAGAACCUUUUGUUGGGUGGAGUCACCCCAAAAUAGCAGAAUUUACAUUCUUCUCAAGUACCUGGAACAUUCUCCAGGACAGGCUAAACACAUGAUAGGUCAUAAAGAAGUUGUGAAAAUUAAAAAAAAGAUUGAAAUACAACAAUGUAUCUUUUUCUAAACACAAUGGAAGGAAACCAGAAAUUAACAGCACAAUUAAAAUACGAAAAUCUACAAAUAUGUGGAAAUUGAAACGGUCUUAAACAACUAAUAAAUCAAAGAAAAAGUCACAAGAGAAAUUAGAAAAUACCUCAAAACAAGUGAAAAUGAAAAUGUGGCAUACUAAAAUUUAGGGGAUCAGUGAAAGUCAUGCUAAGAAGGAGUCUUAUGGCUUCGAAUUAAUUCACAUAUGAAAUGAGAAGAAAUACCUUAAAUAAACAAUCUACCUUCAUCUUUUAAGAUAAUAGAAAAAUAAGCACAGAGUAAACCCAAAGCUGGCAUGAGGGAGACGACAAUAAAGAUUUGAACAGUAACAAACUGAGUUGAGAAUGGAAAAGCAGUUUUAAAAUCAAUAAGAUUAAGAAGGAGUUAUCGAAAAGAUCAACAAAAUCAGGAAAACCUUAGAUUUACUACAGAAAAACAAUGAGGACUAAAAUAAGAAAUGAAAUACUCUGUCUUUCACAUAAAAAAUAGCUUUCAAGAAUCUUACAAAAUGAAGUGAAAGAAAGGACAUUACAACCAAUGCCAUGGGAUUUUUUUAAAAAAAGUUAUAAUAGGAUACAAUUAUAUGCUAACAAAUUGAAAGACCUAGAAUAAAUAACAAACUCCUAGAAAUAUACAAUCUACCAAGACUGAAGCAGCAAGAAACAUAAUCUGAAGACACUCAUAAUAAGUAGGGAGAUUGAGUCAGUAUUUUAAAUUUUCCCAAUUUAAAAAACCUCAGGGCCAUAUGGCUUCACUAGGACAUCUACCAAACAUUUAAAAAUAAUUGAUUACAGUCCUUCUUGAAAGUCUUCCCAAAAUUGGACAGGAAGAAACACCUCCAGGCUUAUCUGUGAUGCCGAUAUUACCCUGAUAUCAAAGCCAAACACACUACAAGGCAAUUGUGGGCACUUGGGGAGUGAACUAGUAGAUGAAAGAUACCUCUUUCUAUCUCCCUGCCUUUCAAAUAAAAUUAAAGUACAUAAAUCUUUUUUAAAAAUUUAUUUAAACGUCAUAGUUAGAGGAAGAAACAGAAGGAGAAUCUUCCAUCUGCUGGUUCACUCAUUUCCCAGAUGGCCUCUGUGGGGCUGGGGCAAGUUGAAACCAAGAGCCAGAAAGUUCUUCUGGGUGUCAGGGGCUGAAGCACUGGGGCCAUGUUCUGCUGCUUUUCCCAGACCAUUAGCAGUGACCUGAAUAGGAAGUGAAGCAGCCAGAACUUGAACUGGCACCUAUGUGGGGUGCUAGCUUCCCAGACAGCAGCUUUGUUUGCCAUGUCACAAUGCAGGCUCCAAAGUGAAUAAAUCUUAAAAUGUUUUAAAACACUAAAACAGGAGAAUCAAAGCUGUAGAACUAUUGGAAGAAAAUAUAGAGAAAAGUUUUUUGCUAUUGGAUUUUACAGUGAUUCCUUGAUAGCACAUCAAAACACUGGCAACAGAAUAAAGAAAAACAGUACUCAUCAAACUUAAAAACUUUUGUGCAUCAAAAGACAAUAAGUUAAUGGAGUGAAAAUACAACUUACGGAGUGAAAAAACAUUUUCAAACCAUAUAUCUGAUAAUGUGCUAAUAUUCAGAGUUAAAAGCACCCUGAUAAAGCAAAAAAUAUCAAAUAAAAGUUACAAAGCUGGCAAGGAACUUGAAUAGAUUCUCCAAAGAUAGUAUACAAAUGGUCAACAAGCAUAUGAAAAGAUGCUCAACAUCAUUGAUCGCUUGAAAUAGUGAUCAGAACCACAGUGAGAUACCAACCAUGUCAUACCUAUUAGGAUAGCUAAAAGCAACAAAUACUAAAAAAAAAAAAGAAAAAAUAAUAAUGUGUCAAUGAGAAUGUAGAGAAAUUGAAACUUACAUGUACUUUUGGUAGACUUAUAAAAUGUUGCAAGUGAUAUGGCAAAUGGUGUGGAAGUUACUUAAAAAUUAAAUAUGAUUGAAUAAACUACCUUUGUGUAUAUAUCCAAAGAAUUGAAAGCAAAGUCUCAAAAGAUUUGCAAUUCCAUGUUCAUAACAGCAGCAUUCACUUAGGUCAAGAAGUGGAAAUAAUUCAACUGUCCAGUGAUGAUUAAAUAAAGUGUGAUGUAUACAUACAUGAGUAUGUUAUUAUGUCUAAAAAUGGAAGAAAAUUUUGCAAUUAUGUGUCAACAUAAUGAACUUCACAUACAUCAUGUCAAGGGAAAUGAGCUAGUCACUAAAAUAAAACAUUGUGUGAUUUCAUUUGAAUGAGAUUUCCUAAGUAAUCAAAAAUCAGAAAAACAUAAAGUUGAAAGGUGGUUACCAGAGGCUGGGAGAAGGGGCAGAAAGUGUCUAUUUUUUAAAAUUGAACAUUUAAAAAAUAUAUUUACAAGAUAAGAUGAAAAUGUUAUGAAGAUGUUUUGCAAUGAUGUACAUAUACUUAAUACUACUUAAUUGUCCUUAAAAAUGGUUAUCAUGACAAAUUUUGGUAUAUGAUUUCUACAGUAAAAACAGGAAAUGUUGGAGCAUGGGUUCUUAGCCUAGCUGUUAAGAGGCCUGCAUCUCACACUGUAGUGUCUUGUCUGGGUUUGAUUCCCGGCUAUUGCUCCUUACUUUGCUUUUUACCAAUCCAGAUUCUAGGGGGUAGUGAUGAUGGCUCAAGUGGUUGAGUUCCUGUCACUCAUCUGGAAGUUCUGUUUUGCAUUCUUGGUUUCUGGCUUCAGCCCUAGACCAACCCUGGCCAUGAUAGGCAUUUAGGAAGUGAACAAGCACUAGCAGAUGGAAAGUCCUUAUCUCUCUCUUUCUGCUUCUUAAAUAAUUACACUUUAAAAAAGAUUUAUUUUAUUUGAAGGGCAGAGUCACAGACAAAGUGUUAGGGGAUGUUCACUCCCAGGUGGCCUCAGUGGCUGGGACUGGGCCAGAAUGAAGCCUGGAGGUUCGUCUAGGUGUCCCACGUGGAUGACAUGGGCUGAAAUACUUGGACCGUCUUCUGCUACUAGGUCAGAAGUGGAGCAGAGGAACUUGAACCUGCGCCCAUAAGGGAUGCCGGUGUUGCAGGCAGUAGCUUAACCUACGAUGCCACAAUACUGGUCCCAAUAAAUAUAGUUAACUUGAGUACAAAACAGCACCUCACAGAAUAUUCCUUGGGAUUUAUUUUUAAGUGGUUAUCCCUACUGAGUUUAUAAUUUGCAGGAGGUAAACACUUCAUAAAAUGGUAUAAAAAGAAAAAGCCUGUUAAAUGCUAAGAUGCAAUGAUUCAAAU